rnacentral:rRNA from 1 species
UACGGAAUGUGCAAACGUUAUUCGGAAUCACUGGGCUUAAAGAGUCCGUAGGCGGCUUGUUAGGUGAGGUGUGAAAUCCCCCGGCUCAACCGAGGAAUUGCGCUUCAAACCGGCAAGCUUGAGGAGGAUAGAGGUGGGCGGAACUGAUGGUGGAGCGGUGAAAUGCGUAGAUAUCGGAAGGAACACCGGUGGCGAAAGCGGCGCGCUGGACCUCUUCUGACGCUGGGCGCGAAGCCAGG